CACCAGCUGAGCCCUCACACUUGCUUAGGUUCUUCCCCAGCUCUAUGCUGCUUCUCACCUCCUCUCCUUUCUUCAGGGCAGCCCUUCAGUAAGUCACUUGCACGAGAAUCAUCAUUUCAGCUCUCCUUCUACCCAAAACUGAACCAGAUAGAUUCUCUGAGGAGUGGUGGCUCCAUGUCACUGAAUUUUUUGUUCUCCGUGUCUCAUCGGCUCUGGUAAACUUUCUCACUUCACAAAGAGAACAUAAGGUAACAUGAAGUUUUUAGAGAAGAAGUUUUGUUUUCUAAAAUAAAGAAAUUGUCGGGGCGCCUGGGUGGCUCAGUUGGUUAAGCUACCGACUUCAGCUCAGGUCACGAUCUCACGGUCCGUGAGUUUGAGCCC